GCUCAGAUUGAACGCGGCGGCAUGCUUACACUGCAAGUCGAAAGGCAGCACGGGUGCUUGCACUGGUGGCGAGUGGCGAACGGGUGAGUAAUACAUCGGAACAUGUCCUGUAGUGGGGGAUAGCCCGGCGAAAGCCGGAUUAAUACCGCAUACGAUCUAUGGAUGAAAGCGGGGGACCUUCGGGCCUCGCGCUAUAGGGUUGGCCGAUGGCUGAUAGCUAGUUGGUGGGGUAAAGGCCUACCAAGGCGACGAUCAGUAGCUGGUCUGAGAGGACGACCAGCCACACUGGGACUGAGACACGGCCCAGACUCCUACGGGAGGCAGCAGUGGGGAAUUUUGGACAAUGGGCGAAAGCCUGAUCCAGCAAUGCCGCGUGUGUGAAGAAGGCCUUCGGGUUGUAAAGCACUUUUGUCCGGAAAGAAAUCCUUGGCUCUAAUACAGUCGGGGGAUGACGGUACCGGAAGAAUAAGCACCGGCUAACUACGUGCCAGCAGCCGCGGUAAUACGUAGGGUGCAAGCGUUAAUCGGAAUUACUGGGCGUAAAGCGUGCGCAGGCGGUUUGCUAAGACCGAUGUGAAAUCCCCGGGCUCAACCUGGGAACUGCAUUGGUGACUGGCAGGCUAGAGUAUGGCAGAGGGGGGUAGAAUUCCACGUGUAGCAGUGAAAUGCGUAGAGAUGUGGAGGAAUACCGAUGGCGAAGGCAGCCCCCUGGGCCAAUACUGACGCUCAUGCACGAAAGCGUGGGGAGCAAACAGGAUUAGAUACCCUGGUAGUCCACGCCCUAAACGAUGUCAACUAGUUGUUGGGGAUUCAUUUCCUUAGUAACGUAGCUAACGCGUGAAGUUGACCGCCUGGGGAGUACGGUCGCAAGAUUAAAACUCAAAGGAAUUGACGGGGACCCGCACAAGCGGUGGAUGAUGUGGAUUAAUUCGAUGCAACGCGAAAAACCUUACCUACCCUUGACAUGGUCGGAAUCCUGAAGAGAUUCGGGAGUGCUCGAAAGAGAACCGGCGCACAGGUGC
rnacentral:rRNA from 1 species